GAACGGGUAAUGUCCCAUGGCCUU
rnacentral:piRNA from 1 species